CCAAGUAGGUAUGACAAUUUCCUUGCCAGCGUACCCCAUGUUGCUGACAUGUUGCAGUGACAUUGAAUGUAGGUGACCUUGCUCAAGGACCAAGGCAGAUUAGGGUGUUCCCGGUUUUAAGAUAAUCGUGUUUAGGGCGUUCCCAGUUUAGGUUCCAGGUUUAAGGUUUAAGAUUAUUCCUGCUGGGAAUAGGGCGUAUCCUGCUGCCUGAGUUCCCCUUGAGUUCUCACGGGAUUCAGACAGUAUAUUUUGGAGAUAGAAGCCCAGUGGAGGUGGAUUUGGGCAGAGAACGUGGAUUUCCCCAGAACGUGAUUGUAGACGGCUGGUGUGAGUUCGGGAAUAAAGAGUUGCUGUUUGAAUCUACAAGCUGUGUGGUGGCUCGUGAUUGUGUGCCCAGCCAGACUGCGGCAUUUGUGCCCAGCCAGACUGUGGCAUUUGGUGGCCCAUACGGGGAACUUCUGAAGCUUGGAGGGAGAACAGCAGCCGAUUUGGAUUCCAGAGAGAUUAACUAAAACAAUUUCUACAGAUCGAAAAGAAGAUAAUUUGACGCAAAUCCAUAACAGCUGAUAUCCAGAGCUCCAGCUUGGCCAUUCUUACAUCUGCGACAGUGAUUAACCAGUGAUAUAAUUUUUAUUUCCUUGCCAGCGCACCCCAUGUUAAUUGUGGUAGUGCUGACAUAUCUUUGCUGAUGGUGUCACCAGUGAUGCAAUUUUUCCCAAGGAGCCGUCAAUUGGCUUGGUGUCGUGGCAUUUCUGUAUCCUCCUCCCUUCUGCUAGUGAUGGUCUAAAAUUUGGGGGCCAAUGGCUUAUGCUGGACCGGUAGUCAGUGACGGGUAUGAUCCAAUUGCAGUGGUAUCAACCUAAGACAGGAGGCUGACGCCUAAAGGUCAGUUUUCCGAUGACGGGUAAGAACCAUAUGUUGAAUUGGACAACCUACCAGGCACGGUCCAUAAGCCACAUUAACCUCACUCCCCCACUGGCACCAAGGCCAAAUUUGGGGGCCAACAGAGGUGAGGCAAAGAACCUCACCCCCCCACUGGUGCAUAGACCUAUCCACAAGUAUGGCUGUAUGCUGGACUGGUAGUCAGUGACGGGUAUGAUUCAAUUGCAGUGGUAUCAACCUAAGACAGGAGGCUGACGCCUAAAGGUCAGUUUUCCGAUGACGGGUAAGAACCAUAUGUUGAAUUGGACAACCUACCAGGCACGGUCCUUAAGCCACAUUGCUUGUUGUUUAAUUAAUCAGAAGGGGGGAGAUGCUGGGAGCCAUUAGCCAAGUAGGUAUGACAAUUUCCUUGCCAGCGUACCCCAUGUUGCAGUGACAUUGAAUGUACGUGACCUUGCUCAAGGACCAAGGCAGAUUAGGGUGUUCCUGGUUUUAAGAUAAUCCUGUUUAGGGCGUUCCCAGUUUAGGUUCCAGGUUUAAGGUUUAAGAUUAUUCCUGCUGGGAAUAGGGUGUAUCCUGCUGCCUGAGUUCCCCUUGAGUUCUCACGGGAUUCAGACAGUAUAUUUUGGAGAUAGAAGCCCAGUGGAGGGGGAUUUGGGAAGAGAACGUGGAUUUCCCCAGAACGUGAUUGUAGACGGCUGGUGUGAGUUCGGGAAUAAAGAGUUGCUGUUUGAAUCUACAA